rnacentral:rRNA from 1 species
AUACUCCCGGGGUCCGAUUUAGCCGUGCUAGUUGUACGAGCUCAUACUCGUAGCAAAUAGCUCCGUAACACGUGGCCAAACUACCCUACAGAGAAUGAUAACCUCGGGAAACUGAGGCUAAUAGUUCAUACACGUCUCGAGUUGGAAUACUGAGACGCUCAAACGUCCCGACGCUGUAGGACGUGGCUGCGGCCGAUUAGGUAGACGGUGGGGUAACGGCCCACCGUGCCGAUAAUCGGUACGGGUUGUGAGAGCAAGAACCCGGAGACGGAAUCUGAGACAAGAUUCCGGGCCCUACGGGGCGCAGCAGGCGCGAAACCUUUACACUGCACGCAAGUGCGAUAAGGGGACCCCGAGUGCGAGGGCAUACAGUCCUCGCUUUUCACCACCGUAAGGUGGUGGUGGAAUAAGAGCUGGGCAAGACCCGGUGCCAGCCGCCGCGGUAAUACCGGCAGCUCGAGUGAUGGCCGAUUUUAUUGGGCCUAAAGCGUCCGUAGCCGGCCACACAAGUCCAUCGGGNAAAUCCGCCAGCCCACUGGNGGGCGUCCGGUGGAAACUGUGUGGUUGGGACCGGAAACCCAACAGGUACNUUUGGUAGGAUGAAUCCCGUAUCUUGGAGGGCCCNUAGCAAAACUUUUGGGANACGAUCCAGACGAGGGACAAACCNGGUUCNACCGGUAAANCCCGGUAUCCUGCCAAAAAUUUUGUG